rnacentral:rRNA from 1 species
UACGUAGGGUGCGAGCGUUAAUCGGAAUUACUGGGCGUAAAGCGUGCGCAGGCGGUUUUGUAAGCCAGAUGUGAAAGCCCCGGGCUUAACCUGGGAAUGGCAUUUGGGACUGCAAGGCUUGAGUGCGGCAGAGGAGACUGGAAUUCCUGGUGUAGCAGUGAAAUGCGUAGAUAUCAGGAAGAACACCGAUGGCGAAGGCAGUUCUCUGGGACGGUACUGACGCUGAGACGCGAAAGCGUGGGGAGCGAACAGG